rnacentral:rRNA from 1 species
AGGACGAACGCUGGCGGCGUGCUUAACACAUGCAAGUUGAACGGUAUGACAUGGAAGCUUGCUGAAGUGUCAUAUAGUAGCGGACGGGUGAGUAAUGCAUGAGAAGCUGCCAUUGGGAGGGGGACAACAGUUGGAAACGGCUGCUAAUACCCCGUAUGCCGGAGGGUGAAAGGGAGUAAUCCGCCCGAUGAGGUGCUCAUGUCCUAUCAGCUGGUUGGUGGGGUAACGGCCUACCAAGGCGACGACGGGUAGCCGGCCUGAGAGGGUGAACGGCCACACUGGAACUGAGAUACGGUCCAGACUCCUACGGGAGGCAGCAGUGGGGAAUAUUGGGCAAAUGGGGGCAACCCUGACCCAGCGACGCCGCGUGGGGGAAGACGGCCUUCGGGUUGUAAACCUCUUUUGUACGGGAAGAAGGAAGUGACGGUACUGUACGAAUAAGUCCCGGCUAACUACGUGCCAGCAGCCGC